UAGUGCAUCGAAGCAAUCUUAUGGGAUUGG
rnacentral:piRNA from 1 species